rnacentral:rRNA from 1 species
GAUGAACGCUAGCUACAGGCUUAACACAUGCAAGUCGAGGGACCGGCGCACGGGUGAGUAACACGUAUCCAACCUGCCCUUUACUCGGGGAUAGCCUUUCGAAAGAAAGAUUAAUACCCGAUAUAAAGGAUGGGGAUGCGUUCCAUUAGGUUGUUGGUGAGGUAACGGCUCACCAAGCCUUCGAUGGAUAGGGGUUCUGAGAGGAAGGCCCCCCACAUUGGAACUAAGGCACGGUCCAAACUCGUACGGGAGGCAGGAGUGAGGAAUAGUGGUGAAUGGGGGCUAGCCUGAACCAGCCAAGUAGCGUGAAGGAUGAAGGCUUUUGGGUCGUAAACUUCUUUUAUAUAAGAAGAGGUAUUAUAUGAAUAAGGAUCGGCUAACUCCGUGCCAGCCGCCGCAGUAAUUC